GACGAAGGGGCUAGCGUUGUUCGGAAUUACUGGGCGUAAAGCGAGUGUAGGUGGUUGUCCAAGUUGGAUGUGAAAGCCUUGAGCUCAACUCAAGAAAUGCAGUUCAGGACUGGGCGACUAGAGGACCGGAGAGGAUAGUGGAAUUCCCGAGUGUAGUGGUGAAAUACGUAAGAAGAUUGGGAAGAACAGCCAGUGGCGAAGGCGGCUAGUCUGGACGGUUUCUGACACUUAAGAACUCGAAAGCGGUGGGGAGCAAACAGG
rnacentral:rRNA from 1 species